rnacentral:tRNA from 1 species
GCCCGGAUGGCGGAAUUGGUAGACGCGCAGCCUUGAGGUGGCUGUGCCGAAAGGUGUGGGGGUUCGAGUCCCCCUUCGGGCACCA